UACGUAGGGGGCAAGCGUUGUCCGGAAUCAUUGGGCGUAAAGAGCGCGUAGGCGGCCCGAUAAGUCCGCUGUGAAAGUCCAAGGGCUCAACCCUGGGAUGCCGGUGGAUACUGUCGGGCUCGAGUCCGGAAAGAGGAGUGUGGAAUUCCGUGGUGUAGGCGGUGAAAUGCGCAGAUAUCAGGAGGAACACCAAUGGCGAAGGCAGCACUCUGGGACGUGACUGACGCUGAGACGCGAAAAGCGUGGGGAGCAAACAGG
rnacentral:rRNA from 1 species